GUCCCAGUAGCUUAACUUAAAGCAUUGGUCUUGUAAACAAAGAUUGAAAUCUAACCCUUCUCCUGAGACU
rnacentral:tRNA from 1 species